CCUCCCUCAAUUAUAAGCGGCUGGCCGGAUGCUGCGGUCGUCCGUCCGCUCCUCUGCGUUCUUUCGUUUCGUUCAGUUUUAUUUUCUGACUUAUCGACCUGUUGAACAAGCACUUUGUGCGAGCACUGAUUUCUUACCCGUCACGGAUUGCUUCUCCGCGAUUGCGUCGCCGAUGGGACCCACCGUCGCGCCUAUCUGUGAGAGGGCGAACGACCGCGGUUUUCCGUUUGUGAGUAAUGCAUUGCUUACCCUUCCGGGGCUGCGAUUGGUCUUCGUUGGGACCCACGGUCCUUCGACUCUGCGGACGUCACUUGGGACUCUUCAUCUCGAGGGCUCGCUGGGUAACCGCCUCCGUAUACGCGUCAUGCAACGUGUACUUACCGUCCACAUUCUUGGUGAGUCGUUCCCAGCAUAUACGCUGUUCGUCGCGCUACUGAGCCACGCUGGCGGUGACCAGACACCGACUCCAAUCUCGCGCUUCAGAAGCGUAACCAAUCUUCUUCUUUCCUUCCCCUCUCUCUCCGUCUCUCAAUCUUCUUCUUCUCCUGGUUUCCUAACCCUCUCUUUCCCACCACCUUCUCUCUCUAUCCUUCUUAGACGACGUCCGUUGGCGGCGAUCUCCAUAAUCGAGAUUAUGCCGUCUCUGGUUUUUGGAUGAAGACCGGGGCAGGACGAAACACGCCAAAGAUCCUCGUGCCAAAGCGGCCGCUGUAUUCUUUAAAGAGCAAGAACGGCCCACAGCCAUGAGGAAGUUGCACAAGAAUGACCUCGGAGGAGCAACUUUUGGCUGCAAGGGCAUGACGGUAGAAUGGUGCCUUGCCUUCCAAUGCAAUUGUGUGGUGAGUGACUGACCCAUAGCAAUUUUCAUUUUAGUUGCUUCUUUCUCUAGUAUUAGACGUCAAAAUUGGCUUUAGGGCUAUAUAAUUUGUCCAUGCUUCUAAUGACAUAUAUGGUUUCUUGUUGAUUCUGUUUAA